GAUACGGAAGUGACUCUUUACAUGCAGAAGGUCAUUUAUCUCAAACCUGAACUGCACAAGCUAAGGUCUAUUCAGGACGAGAUCUACCUGCCAGGAAAUGGGAGAAGCUGAAGCUGCUUCAUCAGUGCCAUUUCCAUACUGCGUUUGAUCUCAGGAAAAGGUCUGCAUUGAUGAAUUAGUGCAACAACACUAUCAGCCAUAAAAGAAUACAUCUAAUGAGAAAAUCCAGCGGUGACUUCUAGGCUGGAUUGGUUAUCCCUCACCCACAGUGUUACCUCGAGAACUCCCAUGUGCUCACCACAGCACUGAAGCAAAACUGGGCCUGGAUUCUGAAGAAAAGAGCCAGAACAAGGUGCUAGAUCUCCUUCCAUAAGUUUCCCAACAGAGAUUUACCUGGCCAGAGUUAGAUGGCUGCUCUUCAAGGAGAAUGCCCUUCCCAUCCCACGAAAUGCUCUUGACACUUCACCCUGCUUGUACCUACUUGUUUCCGCCUGCGACUGGAACCAAUGUGAAACCUCAGGAUCUGGUCUCCUCGCUGUAAGAUGAAAAAGCACAGGCUGUAUGAGGCAAAAAUAAGAGGUAGAGAUGGACAUCAGGUGAUUCCUGGUGAUUUUCAGACCUGUAAGUUCUAUUACACCAUCUAGUUACCCGCCUCCUGUAAGAAGCAAUACGUGAUAGUGAGCCAGCACUUUUAAAUGGUUCCAGAAUACCAUUUCCCUCCCCAAUUCUGUUUUUCUGACAUCAGACUGUACCUGAGUGUUGGUUCAUUGGUUCUGUCCCUCACAGUGGCACCCAAAGGUCCCUUUCCAAAAGGCAACUUACUUCUCCCUUGCCCUUUGCUUCCUAAAUCAAGAAUAAAUAAAGAAGAGAAGAAUGUGGCAACACCAUUUUAGAUGUGCUGCCAGCACAUCUGAAAUGGGCUGGAUGUAUUGUCAGAAAAAACAUCGAUAGCUGAAAAGCGCUGCAGAGAAAUUAAAUACAUGGGAGGAUUGUGAGCAAUACAAGAGAGACAUGCUGCUAUUGAUAAGUCAAAAACACUGUUUGUUUGUUCCCCAGCACUCUCAGUAUUAAAAGAGUCAUUUGCAACGUCUCAGCUUGCUAUUGUGUAUUCCUGGUACCUGACCUUCUCAGUCUGGCUGUUGUGCAUCUGUUAGCCUGUGACCUUCCCACUGCAUGGAUCAGAUAUUGAGAAGGCAGGGGAGAAGGAAGAGCAGAGGAAGGCAGGUAGGGAAAUAAAUAACUGAAUCAUU